AAGCUUGUGCCUGUGCCUGGAAGCAAGGAGGGCUGGAACUGGGGCCCUGCUGGGAAGCCCUGUAUCUGCAGAACUGUGUCCCGUGGGGGCCAGGGGACACAGAUUUUUGCAGCCCUCUGAUGCUGAAGCCUUUCUGGGGCUGGGAUGACCCAAUGCCCACCUGGACCGUGCACUUCCUGGUGACCCUCUGAGACAACUUCCUGGGCAGAGUUGAUCAUCAUGGAGUCAGUGCAAGUCUGGGAACAGUGGCCUGAAACUGCGCAGCUCCAGUGUGUCGGUGGAGGCCCUUCAGUGAGGAGUCCCCCAGUCUGGGUGGAGAGCCAGCCCGAUCGGCUUGAUUCCUCCACUCUUGACACCGUGAGCCUCAGAUUCUGAGAGCUUGGGAGGAUGGACAGAGACUGCGGUCAGCAGGAGAAUGGGAAGCAGAUGGGAGAGGAAGAAGCUUGCCUUUGGUGGGGACCAGGAGGCUGGGAGCCCAGGCCCAUUCACUGUAACAUGUGCAGUAAAUCCCAUUAUAUUCAUGCAAAGAAUUCUACACAGCAAGGAAAAGGAAAGAGCUGUUGGCAUGCCACAACACAGGUGGAUCUCACAGACCUACUGCUGAGCUAAAGAAGGCAACCACGCACAUGUACAUGCUGCAUGGGGCCGUUUCUAUCUGCCCAGAACCAGGCAAGAACCAUCUAUGCCAACAGCUUCAUUGCUGCUGUUUCUGGGGUUGUUGACUGGAGGGGCGAGGGGACCCUCUCGGAUGUGGAAAUGUUCUGUGAUGAGAUAGAGGUUUCCUGCAUGUCUGUGCCUGUGAGAUGCAUCCAGCUGCACACUUCAGAUGCGUGCAUUUUAUUGCAUAUGUUAUGCCUUGAUUUUUAAAAGUCUUUAAAUAUUUAAUCCUGAACAUCCCUACGAAACAAAUAAUAAAACAGCCCUAGGCUCCUGAUGUCUUGCCCAGGUCACCUACCACCCUCAGGCCUCUCUAGGAGUCAACAUCUGGAUGCUGAUGCCUGCUUCCCCCUCCAUACCUCACAGCCAUCACCCAAGAGGGGGCUGUAAGACGUCUCUCUGGCCGGCACUGGAGCCAGCUUUGAGCUGCCCGAGCCUGCUUCCUACGCAGGGUGCUUUAAAUCUUCCGGAUCACUGAGCCUUCAUUUCAGAAUGCUUUAUUGCUCAUCUUCCUACCACGCAGGGCUGCUGCCUGUGUCAGCUCGCACCGAGGGAGGAAAAUAAUUAUACCCCACAGCGUCAGUUACAUCGAAGGGUAGAGAGGCACCAGGCGCCUUCCCCUUCAGGAUGCGCAGAGCCAAGGGGGUUUCCAAUCCUGCUCCUUGCUGACCAGGGCCUCUGCAUCAUGACACUGACCGUCCCACACAUCUGGCUGCCGCCUCCUCGCUAUUACCUCAUGUCUUCCUCUGCAGGCUCCCAGACUGGGGUCCUAAGAUCUGGAGAUGCUGCCUGCAGGUCAGGAUCCAAGGGGAGUUUGGAUAUGACUGUGGCCCAGACAGAGCUCAGAGUCUACAAAAGCCCCACAGAGCCCACCUGUGACUUGUGACUAGGCAAUGAGGUUAUGCCGGCCUCACGUCCUCUGAAUGCUAUUGUGCCUGAGCCCCUGGGCUGCCUCCUAUCCUCCUGCUCUGGACUUUGCCUCCCGAUGCCCUGCCCUAGAUGUUUCUGUUGGGGGACUCCAGAGGGCUGGUGAGAACUGGGGGGUCCCUGUAGGGUGGAGAGGGUCAGAAGUCACCUAUCAGUGUGGCAGACAUGGCUGGUCCCAGAGCCCGGGGCUCCUGCUCUAAUGGGAGGACCCCAGUGAAAGCACCCACCUGCUUCUGGCAGGGUAGCUUAACCCCCAUUCCAAUAGAACCUCUAGAGAAUCUAAUAGCCCCAUCCCUAUGGGCCUCUGCACAGCUCCCAAUCCAGCCCCAGUCCCCUUUAUGUCCCCACCACAGCCUCGUCCUGGAUGACAGACGGUGGGAAGGGUUGUUACUGUCAGGACAGAUGCAGUCACCAUUUUCUGCAGCAAGGAUCCUUAGUCAUAAGUAAUAUUGUGCGUGGGACACCAACAGCCCAGCCCAAGAAGCAUUGGUCAAACUGGGCCCAGGGAAAACCUUCCAGGAUGAGCUGAAGAGAAGGUCAGCCUGCUCAUCUGGAUGGACAUGCUGCAGCCUCAGCCCCUGGCCACCUGGGGAAGUCAUGGGACUGACACCCCCCUUCCCAGCACACACAGACACACCCGCAGGCACGCACGCAGGCAACACACACUUACACACUCACACAUGCUCGUAUACAUACAUUCACAGACAGAAACACACACCCUUACAUACAGGCACUCAGACACACACUCAGAGCCAUGCACACAUGCACUCAUAUGGGUACAAGUACUCAUGUGCUCACCCACACCCACAUACGCACUCCCCUUGGUGCACACACGUACAUACACACAUGUACAGCCAUGCAGUGCACGCACUGGUUUUUGGGUACAGGCCAGCUUCUGUAACCUGGAUCUAGGGACAACCUCCUGUAAGUCUGCAGAGGCGAAGUCUGGCCAACACACGCAGCUGCCCUCCUGAACAGAAUAUCGUCAGCCUCAACAUCAGCAUCGGGGUUCCCUCCUUACACAGGGGUCCCCCCUUAUCGGGGGGGGUGCAUUCCAAGACCCCCAGUGGAAGCCUGAAACUUGGGUAGGACUGGACCUUAUUCUACUGUGUUUUUUCCUGUAUAUGCAUACCUAUGAUGAAGUUUAUCAGGCACGGGAAGAGAUUAACCACAAUAGUUAAUAACCCAGAUAGAACAAUGAUAACAAUAUGCCAGCACUGCUUCUCCACACUUUGUGGCCAUGAUGAGAUAAAAUAAGGGUGACUUGACCACCAGCACUAUGACAUCAUGACGGUAGACCUGGUCAUCGAGAGGGCUCCUAGGUGACUAAGAGGUAGGAAGGGCGCCUACAGUGUGGAGACGCUGGACAAAGGGGGACGCGUGUCCAGGGUGGGAAGGUGAGAGAUUUCAUCCAGCCGUGCAGAACGACAUGCAAUUGAAAACUUAGGGAUUGUUUCUUUCUGGGAUUUCUGUUUAAUAUUUUUGGACCUCAGUGGACCACGGGUAAGGGACUCAUAUGCCCUGGCGUGGGAGGAGGUUCCCGUCUAGGGGGUGGCAUGGCCUGAGGGGUGGGUCAGGCAAGUGUGACCCUGCUGCGCGUCCCCUCUGCCCACCCUCCUCCUGCCUCCGGCCCAGUCGCUGGUUCCCAAGGAAACCUCUCUAAAGUCGUGGCCAGUGAAACCACAGCGCCCUACCAGGCCCCAUCCCUGGACCCAUCCUGCCAUCUCCCCGCCGUCUGCCCAGGGACCCAUGGCUCCUCCCCA
rnacentral:lncRNA from 1 species